GAAUAGCCACAUGCAAUGGGGAGCAGA
rnacentral:piRNA from 1 species